CUAAUCUAAUAAUAGCUUAAGGUGUUUAGCUAGCCUUAGAAGCGGGUUACGCAAUGGGUGAGCAUGCGAGUAGUCUAUGUGUCAUAGAGUAUAGAGUUCCAUAGCAUUGUCUAACGUUAUAAGUAUUUGCAGGAUCGUGUCAUAGUUGGAGACUUCAACAGGUUCUCCAAUGUAGAGUUCGAGUCGUGAGUCCAAUGCAGCCAAGAUGAUGUUUCUUUGGCUGCAGGUACUUUGGUAUAGUUGAGGGGUUGGUAGCAGUGUACUUGGGAUAUUAUGACUGAAGCUCGCUGCGACAGUUGUAAUUGUCGGACCACGGGUUGUCCACUAUUUUAUAGGUUUGGUAUGGCUUGUGACGUUUGUGUCACUUAUUCUUUGUUAAGCCAUUAUUGUUAUGUAAAUAUUGUGUUAAUAAGACUCAAACAGAUAGAUGUUAAAUGGCUCAAUAUUGUAAUUAAUUUGUGAUAAA